rnacentral:rRNA from 1 species
AACGAACGCUGGCGGCAUGCCUAACACAUGCAAGUCGAACGAGAUCUUCGGGUCUAGUGGCGCACGGGUGCGUAACGCGUGGGAAUCUGCCCUUUGGUUCGGAAUAACAGUUAGAAACGACUACUAAUACCGGAUGAUGACGAAAGUCCAAAGAUUUAUCGCCAGAGGAUGAGCCCGCGUAGGAUUAGCUAGUUGGUGUGGUAAAGGCGCACCAAGGCGACGAUCCUUAGCUGGUCUGAGAGGAUGAUCAGCCACACUGGGACUGAGACACGGCCCAGACUCCUCAGGGAGGCAGCAGUGGGGAAUAUUGGACAAUGGGCGAAAGCAUGAUCCAGCACUGCCGCGUGAGUGAUGAAGGUCUUAGGGUUGUAAAGCUCUUUUAACCGGGAUGAUAAUGACAGUACCGGGAGAAUAAGCUCCGGCUAACUCCGUGCCAGCCGCCGCCGUAA